CCCUUAGAGUUUGAUCCUGGCUCAGGAUGAACGCUAGCUACAGGCUUAACACAUGCAAGUCGAGGGGCAGCAUGGUCUUAGCUUGCUAAGGCCGAUGGCGACCGGCGCACGGGUGAGUAACGCGUAUCCAACCUGCCUUACACUCUUGGACAGCCUUCUGAAAGGGAGAUUAAUACAAGAUGUUAUCAUGGGUAAGCAUUUUCGCAUGAUUAAAGGUUUACCGGUGUAAGAUGGGGAUGCGUUCCAUUAGAUAGUAGGCGGGGUAACGGCCCACCUAGUCUUCGAUGGAUAGGGGUUCUGAGAGGAAGGUCCCCCACAUUGGAGCUGAGACACGGUCCAAACUCCUACGGGAGGCAGCAGUGAGGAAUAUUGGUCAAUGGACGAGAGUCUGAACCAGCCAAGUAGCGUGAAGGAUGAAGGUUCUAUGGAUUGUAAACUUCUUUUAUACGGGAAUAAACGAAUCCACGCGUGGAUUUUAGCAUGUACCGUUGAUAGAUC
rnacentral:rRNA from 1 species